UACGAAGGGGGCUAGCGUUGCUCGGAAUCACUGGGCGUAAAGGGUGCGUAGGCGGGUCUUUAAGUCAGGGGUGAAAUCCUGGAGCUCAACUCCAGAACUGCCUUUGAUACUGGCGACCUUGAGUCCGGGAGAGGUGAGUGGAACUCCGAGUGUAGAGGUGAAAUUCGUAGAUAUUCGGAAGAACACCAGUGGCGAAGGCGGCUCACUGGCCCGGUACUGACGCUGAGGUGCGAAAGCUAGGGGAGCAAACGGG
rnacentral:rRNA from 1 species